AAGUGGCGCACGGGUGCGUAACGCGUAUGCAACCUACCUUUAAUCGGGGAUAGCCCGAAGAAAUUCGGAUUAACACCGCAUAAAAACACAGUACAGCAUUGUAAUGUUCAAAUAUUUAUAGGAUUAAGAUGGGCAUGCGUGUCAUUAGCUAGUUGGCGGGGACGGCCCACCAAGGCGACGAUGACUAGGGGGAUCUGAGAGGAUGACCCCCCACACUGGCUGAGACACGGACCCAGACUCCUACGGGAGGCAGCAGUAAGGAAUAUUGGUCAAUGGAGAACUCUGAACCAGCCAUGCCGCGUGCAGGAAGACAGCCCUCUGGGUCGUAAACUGCUUAUUCGGGAAUAAACCUUAUUACGUGUAAUAAGCUGAAUGUACCGAAGGAAUAAGGAUGCUAACUCCGUGCCAGCAGCCGCGGUAAUACGGAGGAUCCAAGCGUUAUCCGGAUUUAGGGUUUAAAGGGUGCGUAGGCGGCUUAUUAAGUCAGGGGUGAAAGACGGUGGCUCAACUCGCAGUGCCCUUGAUACUGAUGAGCUUGAAUACACUAGAGGUAGGCGGAAUGUGACAUAGCGGUGAAAUGCAUAGAUAUGUCACAGAACACCGAUUGCGAAGGCAGCUUACUAUGGUGAUUGACGCUGAGGCACGAAAGCGUGGGGAUCAAACUAGGAUUAGAUACCCUGGUACCACGCCCUAAACGAUGAAUACUCGCUGUUAGCGAUAUACCAGUUAGCGGCUAAGCGA
rnacentral:rRNA from 1 species